rnacentral:rRNA from 1 species
AACGAACGCUGGCGGCAGGCUUAACACAUGCAAGUCGAGCGGUAGGGCAGCAAUGCCUGAGAGCGGCGCACGGGUGCGUAACGCGUAUGCAACCUGCCUUAUACAGGGGAAUAGCCCAUGGAAACGUGGAUUAAUGUCCCAUAGGAUUACGGAUUCGCAUGGAUUUGUGAUUAAAACUGAGGUGGUAUAAGAUGGGCAUGCGUCUGAUUAGGUAGUUGGUAGGGUAAUGGCCUACCAAGCCGACGAUCAGUAGGGGUUCUGAGAGGAUUACCCCCCACACUGGUACUGAGACACGGACCAGACUCCUACGGGAGGCAGCAGUGAGGAAUAUUGGUCAAUGGCCGGAAGGCUGAACCAGCCAUCCCGCGUGCAGGAUGACGGCCCUAUGGGUUGUAAACUGCUUUUGUACCUGAAGAAACCUGUUUACGAGUAGACAGUUGCCGGUAAGGUAUGAAUAAGCAUCGGCUAACUCCGUGCCAGCCGCCGCCGUAAGAC